rnacentral:lncRNA from 1 species
CCUCCUCCACACCAAAAAAACUAGCGACGGUUACAGCUGCUCCACCUCGCCGGUGCGGCGUCCUACCCCUGCUCCGGCGAUCCGUGAUCUCAACACACUCAGCCUGGCCCCCUUCUCCACCAAGGGUCCCCGCUAGAUUAAUCCCGUUACCAUCGCUCCCACCUCGUCGGUGCGCCGUAUCGGAUCGGCAAAGACUGCAUGUGAAUCCCUGGCCUAGCCCCCCUGGUAUGUACUCACCCGACCUAGGGCUUGGUUCAUCUCAUCUUUGAUUCCUCACUUGUUUUGAUUUGUGUUACGUUGGAUGCAAUACUUGCUUUGAUUAAAUUUGCUGAAUGUAUCAAUGUUAUACCCGAUGCGUAAAGGAUCACUAUGUCAUCUAUAAUUUUGUGUUCAUUUCUUAUGCAGAUCACAAUAAUCUGAUUCCCAAUAUUGGCGGAAAUAUUAGUUAUCGACAUAAUCUCAAAUUUCAUCCAUCCAAGUAUAGAUCUGUUUCCAAACUAAUACGUUUGUGCUUCUUAGUUAUGUAGCAUCCAUAAUGCUACAUAGAUGCUUCUGAACUCUAUUUUAUUUGCUUCCAAAUGCCAAAAUAAUAAUACAGAUCAAUCUAUACGUUUGUGAGUCAAAAUAUGCAUCCCCUGUUAGCCAAUCAAUUUUGUUUUUCUUCAGUUCUAUGCUUUAAUUUGAACCCCUGCUUAUACGAUUGUUUGAAGCAUUGUAGUUGUAGAGAUCCUCUUCUCUGUUUCCUUGGAUUUGUUCAUAGGAUUUUGCUAACUCCGUCGCAUGGUUAUGUACUCUAAUUGCAGGAAGCACAUAAGAAAUUCGUAAGAAGCAGCAUCGCACCUUCGGGUAGUAGGUUAGUGUGUCAAUCGCCACUGGAAGGGAUAUUUCUAUUGUUUGAAGCAUUGUAGUUGUAGAGUUCUUCUCUGUGUCUCUUGGAUUUUUUCAUCAGAUUUUGAUAACACCGUCGCAUGAUUAUUUACUCUGAUUGCAGGAAGCAAAUAACAAGUUAGCAAGAAGCAGCACGUGCGUGCACAUGGCGAUGGGACAAGUCCUUGUCUUUUGCUUGCAAUUUGUGUCACUGUGGUAGAUGAUGCGCUGCUUCCUGACCACCACAGAAGCAAAGCAUAUAUUUAACUGAGACAUAUAUUCAUCACUGUGGAAACAUUCCCCAUGUUAUUUGAAAUAAAUAUUUUUAGUGAAAAAAAUCUAUAAUUGUAUGAAAGCGAUCCCCUAGUCUAUGGAAAUAGUAUCACAAUGAUUUGAAAGCAAAAUCUAUAUUUGUAUGGACGCAAGGCAUCAUUUUUGUUGUAUGAAAGCAAAUACUGAUUUCUUUGGAUUCAGAUUCCAAAUUCUAUGGAAGCAAAAGCUCAUUUAUUGGAUGCAAAUUACACAUUCUUUGGAAGCAAAUUCAUAUACAUUCGGAUGCAG